UCACCUUGGCAACAAAGUCACCUGGCAGAGGUCUAUGAUCCCCUGAGGGGGCUGAGCAGGACAUCACCUGACAAAAGUUAUAAAAGUUUAUCACUUUAUAAAAGUUAUAAAAAGACAUGAGCUGCUUUACUCACAGUCCCAUUUUUCUCCCACUGAAGAGGAGGAAGAAACAACCCAACAAGUAGGGGCCUGAUGAGGCAGAGGACCCUGCCUAUCUUCCUGAUGGUCCCCACCACCAACCAAGGGAAGGAGGAAGGACAUCCCUCAGGAAGGCAGCAUUGGAAAGAAGUGGAGACUGUGGAUAAGGAAGGAACAUAUCCUCCGGUGGUUAUACAACUAAGUGACAGAGGGCACGAUUCUGACUCAGGCCAUGCAGCCAUAAGAAGGAACUGGAGAGGUGCCGACCCUCACUGCCACUUGCACAAGGAGCUCUACUGCGCAUGUGCGGGCCAACGGACACUGCUUUGAAGAAUUUCCAGACUCAGGCUCAGGGUGUGCACACGUGCCCAUGUGCGGAAUACAAAUAGGGACCAGCACUUGAGAAGAAACAGCCACUAUUCCUUCCUAGAGCCAUUCUUUUUUUAUGUACUCUUAUUCUCAAAGUUUAUAACUAUUUUAUUUUUCCCUAUUAGCUUAUGUUUUCAGUCGCCUAUAAUAGUGCUUUAAUCCACUAACACAAAUAAAUCAAACAAUGACAUCAAUCCAAAAUGUUAAUAGCAAAAAAAUCUUGAACUGCCUUUUCAAACCAUCCCAAACAUUUGCUGCUUGAAUAUUAUGGGGUAGAGAGUUUCAGCAAACUCAGGCUAGAAAAACUGAGAAAAUGCAAAUUGAAACAAUUAGUAAAGUAGGGUUAGUAAAGUGGGUUAAGCUUAAUUAAAUGUGCAUAGAUGUGAGCCAAAUUCCUGAAUAUAUAUAUAUAGAGGAUGUCAUUAAAAUUCAAAGGUUAAUAAUAAUAUGAUGGUAUUUGGCACUUCUGUAGCACUUUUCGUUUGAGUCUCUGAAAGCACCUUCUGAAUAUUAAUUAAACCUUGAUGCUCUGUGAGGUAGGUGAAUAAUUAUAUCUCUAUGUUAAACCUCGGUAAACUGAGGCUAUGAGACGUAAAGUGACUUACCCCAGUUCAAAUACUGAUUAUUGGUAGCACAGAUGGAGCCUAAACAAUGAAUUCACAAAAUUCAAACCCAGGCUGAUUGUGAAUGUAUUCACUUUAUGAACUAACUUCUCUCACAGAUCUUUUCUUAGAACCUAAUUCAGAAGUUGCACACAAUUGACUUUUCAGGUCUGAAUUUGGCCCUUGCAACUUGCAGAAAAAUAUUUGCAAAGACUGCAAGAUAGAGCACGGGGAAGAUGGAUAAUGUUUUGCUAGGAGAGAGACAAGGUGGGUGAGACAAUAUCUUUUAUUGGAACAACUUCAGUUCAUUAAAGAAACAAG